UUCGGCUAACGACCCUCCACCAAUCAAGCAAGCGGUGGGUGUGAGUGUACACCCAUUAAGCGCCAUUUUAUAGGCCGCAACCUUAUACCCACCUUAUAGAUCGGCUUCGUGAAUGAGGCCUACUAACGGUAAGACUAGCAUUUAGUUAUACAUAUAUAUAUUAUUCUAGUAAUAUCAUAUUAGUAUAGGGUUGUAUUUUAAAACUUUUAAAAUCUAGGGUUUGAAAUUUAAGUUGUCUAAAUUAAAACUUUUAAUCACAAAAGUAAAUUUCAAAACAUGAGGGUAGGUUUUAAACAUUUAAAACAUGGAGGAUCAAAUAACAAAUAAUUCCAAUUAACAAUUAAUAUCCUAAUUAUCUAUAUUUGAUUUAUUCAAGAUUUCUUUUAAAGAUAAUUACCAAAAUAAUCAAAAUAAUUAAUUAAUUAUCAUAUAAGGAAAUUAAAUAUUUAAUUAGUUGAUAAUUACCUUUAACUAGAUCAAGAUAAUAGUUAUAUUUAUCAGAAAAACGAAUUAAUGUUGAUCUAAUUAGUUUAUGGUAAGUUAAGAUAAGAUAAACACAAAGAAAUCCCGAAUCUGGCCAUUCCUGACGCCUGGACUCGCCGAGUGCACAAAUGGACUCGCCGAGUCAGGCCUACUCGCCGAGUCCACUUUGAGACUCGCCGAGUCCAUGACUCAGAAACCAAAAAUUCGAAUUUUGCAGGUUUGUUUCAGUUAAUCAAGCAACAAUUUACAGAAAACCAAGCUAGGCUCUGAUACCACUGAUGGGUUUUAGCCAUAAGAACUUUCCUAUGUGCGCAUGCAAAACCCUAAUGCUUGGAUCUAGGCUUUCUAAUAAACAUGCUUUGAAUCCAAGACUUCUAAUUACUAAUUAGGUUAAACAAGAACAUUAAAACAGAUCUAGAAUCAUACCUUUGAGUUCCUUGUUGAUCUUGAGGUCUUGGAGCUUCUAGAGUCACAAAUGUCACUCCUCUAAUGGCUUACAAACACCAAAGCAAGGAGGAUGAUUUGGGAGAGAGGAGAGGGGAGGAAUUUCGACCAGAGGUUCCUUACUUUAGGUCAAGUGUCGAAUUCCAUCAGCCAUGGGGUCUAUUUAUACUUGUAGACUCCUUAAGGAUUACAGAUAAGUCCCUAUCAGAUAAUCUUCUCUUAAGGCUAUCCAAAUCCAUUCCUAGAUAACUCUAAUGGACGAUUUUAGCUAUCCUAAUCCUCUUAGAAUUCGUCCAUAGUAUAUCCAAAUGGAUUUACAGUUUAAAGCUUAACUAUCAAACAAUUGACAGUUUAUACCCCUUUAUUUAAUUAAUCUCUUUAAGUCACCAAAUUAAUUCUAAUUAAUUCUAUGACUUAUAUUAAUCAAAUAACAAAUAUAUUAUUCAUUAUAUUAUUCCCAUAAUAUAUUAAUAAUAUUUAUUCUCUCUUAAUAAAUCAUCCUAUCAAGUUGCUAUGGUGAAGGCAACCCAAAAGGACCAUGCACAACCGGAUAUAGUUACAGCCUUAGACACUAUUCCAACAGUCUCCCACUUGGAUAAGUCUAGUAACUAUACAAGUACAAUUCGGUUUGCAAUCGUAGCUCUCAAAGACGCUGUCAACUCUGAUCUAAUCAAUCUUGUCCUUUAGAUAAGGGAACGUACAGUCCUCUGUUAGAUAUCAUGCUGACAAUCCUAUGGAAUGGUUAGUCAAGCAUUUAGGUUUCUCGAUCUCUGAUUUAUUUGACAUAGAACUUAAUCGAACACAUCAAUUCAGUUCUGACCGGGCCCGGCACAUAAGUCAAAUCAAAUCAUCGAGCGGCCGAGAUAUCGCUUUUACCUUCUUAGAUAAAAGUUACAGAUAAACUUCGACUUAUAUGCAUUUACUUAUUCAUUAACCAACUAUACACAACAAUACGUUUUAUAACACCAAGUUACUGAUGCGUUUUCGUAUUAUCAAUGUACAAUCAAUUAACAAAUAAUAAACCAUAUAUCUAGGUUUUAAGACUAUAUGAUAUUAUCGUCUUGCGAUCACCUUUUAUAUCGUAUUCCAUAAGGUGAUUCCAGCAAGCGCGGGUUUAUUCCAAUGCUCAAAACUAGUUCAUAAGCACUCAUGAACGUUGCAGCAAUCCUUUGCUAUGUCUAACACCAUUUAGACAUUCUACACACCAAUUCAUGACAAUCUUCUUUCAUAUCUACUCCCAACAUAUGAACGAUUGUGGACCAUUUGAAUAAUUCGAUUAUUCCUAAUAAACUCAAUUAUUCUGGAAGUCAAAACAUGCAAAGUGAAACAAUAGCUAAACAAUUAACAUAAGAUAGUAACAUUACUCAUAAAUAAAACUCCUUUAUUUAAUCAUCAAAUGUCAAUUACAUUUAUCUAUUACACGUUUCUAAUACUAUCUAAUCUAUGCUAAUAUCAUCCUUCAGCCCAAUACUCCUAGCAUGCUGCAAGUGCUUAACCCUACUCAGUCCCUUCGUAAGCGGAUCUGCUGGGUUAUCUUCUGAUGAUAUCCUCUUCACUACGAGUUGUCCUUCUUCUACACGAUGUCUAAUGAAGUGAUACUUUCUGUCGAUAUGUCUUGAUCUACCAUGAUCCCUCGGUUCCUUGGUUAAGGCAACCGCACCUUCGUUAUCACAGAAAAUCUCCAUUGGCUCCUUUAUGGCAGGUACGACUCCAAGAUCACCGAUGAAGUUCUUUAGCCAUAUUGCCUCCUUCGACGCUUCGCUCGCUGCAAUGUACUCUGAUUCGCACGUUGAAUCAGCUACGGUUUCCUGCUUGGAACUCUUCCAUGUCACUGCUCCUCCAUUUAGGGUAAAGACCCAGCCCGACUGCGAACGGUAGUUGUCCCUGUCGGUCUGAAAACUGGCGUCACUAUACCCUCGCACCUUCAAGUCAUCACUCCCUCCGAGGACUAAGAACCAUUCCUUCGUCCUCCGAAGGUACUUAAGGAUAUUCUUCACCGCAAUCCAAUGUGCUUUGCCAGGAUUCCCUUGAUAUCUGCUAACCAUGCUCAAAGCGAAGGCUACAUCAGGGCGAGUACAAGUCAUAGCGUACAUGAUUGAGCCAACUGCGGAAGCGUAUGGUACUCGGCUCAUUUCUGCUAUCUCAGCUUCGGUACUCGGACUUUGAGUCUUACUCAAUUUGGCAUUACUUUGUAUCGGUAGUUCUCCCUUCUUUGAGUUUUCCAUACUAAAACGUUUUAGUACCUUCUCUAAGUAAGUAUUCUGACUAAGUCCAAUUAGUCUCUUACUUCUUUCUCUUACUAUCCUUAUUCCCAAAAUGUAAGAAGCCUCUCCGAGGUCCUUCAUAGCGAAGCACUUCCCGAGCCAGGACUUAACCUCCUGCAGAGUCGGGAUGUCGUUUCCUAUGAGUAAUAUGUCAUCGACAUAUAGAACGAGGAAGCUUACUAUACUCCCACUGGCUUUGACAUAUACACAAGAUUCGUCUUCGCUUCGUACAAAUCCAAACUCUUUGACUUUCUCAUCGAAGCAAAGAUUCCAUCUGCGAGACGCUUGCUUAAGUCCAUAAAUGGACUUCUCAAGCUUACACACUCUAUUCGGAUGCUUCGGAUCCACAAACCCCUCUGGCUGAGCCAUGUAAACAUCCUCAGCCAACUUUCCGUUAAGGAAAGCGGUCUUGACAUCCAUUUGCCAAAUCUCAUAAUCAUGAAAUGCGGCAAUUGCUAGCAUCACUCUAAUAGAUUUAAUCUUCGCAACUGGUGAGAAGGUCUCAUCAUAGUCAACUCCGGGAGUUUGAGUAAAGCCCUUCGCAACCAAUCGCGCUUUAUAUGUGUGUACGUUUCCAUCCACGUCGGUCUUCUUCUUGAAGAUCCAUUUGCACCCAACGGUCUUACGUCCGGGCACAUAAUCAACCAAAUUCCAAACUUGGUUAUCAUACAUGGAUUGGAUCUCGCUAUCCAUUGCCUCUUUCCAUUUUGCAGACUCCGGGCCUGCCAUGGCUUCCUUAUAGCUAUUAGGUUCAUCAAGAUUUAUUAGUGUACCAUCACUAAUAUACGUGUCCCCUUCGGUAGUAAUAUGAAAACCAUAAAACUGGGGUUGAACUCUAACUCUAUCGGAACGUCUAAGAGGUAAGGAUUCGUCAAUCGGUUCAACCGGAGUUUCCUCCUCGGGUUGAGUGCCAGCGGUAGAGGUUCCUUCAUCUAUCGACUCUUGAAUCUCUUCAAGCUCGAUUUGCCUCCCACUGUCUCCUUGGCUUAUGAGUUCUCGCUCUCGGAAAACUCCUCUCCUCGCAACGAAGACAACAUUGUCCUUCGGUCUAUAGAAGAGAUAUCCAAAGGAUGUCUGCGGGUAGCCGAUGAAAAUACAUCGCUCACUUCGAGGUUCAAGCUUGUCGUGAGUAUCUCGUCUUACGAAAGCCUCGCAACCCCAAACCUUGAUAUGUGCCAACGAGGGAGCUUUCCCUGUCCACAUCUCGUGAGGUGUUUUGGCAACCUUCUUAGUAGGGACUCGGUUAAGGAUAUGGGCGGCAGUCUCUAAGGCAUACCCCCAAAAAGAGAUUGGUAGUGAAGCACGACUCAUCAUAGAGCGAACCAUAUCCAAUAAGGUUCGAUUACGCCUUUCUGCCACACCAUUCAACUGCGGUGUCCUAGGAGGCGUCAAUUGCGAAACUAUUCCACACUCCUUGAGAUAAUCGUGGAAUUCAAGACUUAGGUACUCUCCUCCUCGAUCGGAUCGAAGCAUCUUGAUUUUCCUGCCCAAUUGAUUCUCCACUUCAUUCUUGAACUCUUUGAACUUUUCAAAGGUUUCUGACUUUUGCUUGAUUAAGUAGAUAUACCCAUAUCUACUAUAGUCAUCGGUAAAAGUCACAUAGAAGCGGUUCCCAUCCUUCGUGGUUGAUCUAAACGGUCCACAUACAUCGGUAUGUAUUAGGUCCAAUAGACCCUCGCCCCUUUCACAUGUACUCGUGAAGGGUGACUUAGUCAUCUUUCCAAGCAAACAAGACUCGCAUGUGUCAUCUUCCCUAAGGUCGAAUGACUCCAACACUCCAUCCUUUUGGAGUUGGGCUAUGCGUUUCUUGUUGACAUGUCCAAGACGACAAUGCCACAAGGAUGCUUUAUCCAUACUAGUGGAAGAAUCAAUAUUCAAAACAUCAUUUCCUAAGUUAUCAACAAUCAUAACGGUUUCAUAUAUUCCAUUACAUGGUAUAGCUUCAAAGUAAAAGACACCAUUUAGAUAAGCCAAAAUAGAACCAUUCUCAUUAUUAAAAGAAAAUCUAAAUCCUUGUCUAUAUAAACCAUGAAAUGAAAUGAUGUUUCUUGCCAUUUCUGGCGAAUAGCAACAAUUGUUCAAAUCUAAAACUAAACUAUUCCUAAGCACUAAGGAAUACACUCCAAUCUUGGUCACAGGCGACGAUCUUCUGUUCCCCAUGAUUAGAUUGAUCCUUCCUUGCUCCACAUCCCUACUUCUUCUUAGUCCCUGCACAUUAGAACAAAUGUGAUAACCACAACCGGUAUCAAGAACCCAAGAAAUAGCAUGAUUAGAAUCGUUAGAUUUGAUUGUAUAUAUACCUGCGAAAGAUGGCUUGAUCUUUCCUUCUUUGAUUGCUUGCAGGUAAUCCGGGCAGCUUCUCUUCCAAUGUCCUAUCUUGUGGCAGUGGUGGCACUCUGCCUCCUUCGGGUUAGAGCAGGGCUUGGCGGGAUCAACUUUGGUCCCACUAGAAGAGGCACCAUCUCGGGCUUUCACCUUGCGAUAGUUCUUCGAUGAAGCUUUCCUCUUCUUUCCCUUCCCUUGUCCAAUAGCCAAGACAGGAGCAGCGGGCGGAUUGGGAGUAGGUGCAACAGACUUGUCUUUGAAGUUGCUCUCAGCAACCCUCAAGAGACCUUGGAGCUUGCUUAGGGUGACCUCUUCUUUGUUCAUGUGGUAGGUCAUCCUAAAUUGGUUGUACAUCGGAGGCAAAGAGUGAAGCACCAUGUCGAUCGCCAAGUCUUCACCGAAGUCAACAUUUAACUUGCGGAGGCGGUCAACAUACCUUUGCAUCUUUUGCAAGUGCACGGUAAGAGAUUCUCCAUGACCCAUCUUCGCGGAAAUCAUGUUAGUGAAAAUCUCGUACCUCUCUUGUCUCGCGUUUUGGUGGUACCUCUCCAAUAAGUCUUGAUGCAUCUCGUACGGGUACAUGUCCUCGUAGGACUUUUGGAAUUCGGAGUUCAUGGUGGCGAUCAUGAUGCAAUGUACCUUCGUUGCAUCUCGCUCAUGAGUUUCAAAGGCGGUGAUUUCGGCGGGAGUAGCAAUUUCGGGGUUGAUUUUCUCGAGCUUCUCAUCGAGGACAUACUCCUUAUCCUCAUAGCGAGCAAUGGUGCGAAUGUAUCUUAUCCAUUCGCUAAAGUUCGUUCCAUCGAAGGUGACCUUUUGGCAAAGGCUCAUCAACGUGAAAGAACUAGCAGCAGCGUUGUUUGCGUUCGACAUCUACAAUUAGAAAAGGACAAAGAUAGAUUAGAAUAAGAAUCCCUAAUUAUCACCCAAUAAGAAAAUUAGGGCUAGGAUCCAACAAUAACAUUUACAUACUAGAAAAGGGAUGCCGUAAUCUAACAUGCAAAUAAAUUGAAGGUAAGUGAAUGACGAUUCACUAAUUCUCCAUCACAAAACUUAAACUAUUAGUCCUAAGUGUUUUUGAGAAUUCCUAGGUUCGGAUGAGAUUCAUUGAAACUAUUCAAUGGCAUGUUUAAAUCUCGAUAUGCCCCUCUUGUUUGUGACUGGGAUGCCGAGGAUCACAAAGCGGGUGUGAAUUACCAUGCAAAUUCACAUGGUGCCUUCAUUGUAACAAUCACCUAUUCGAUGUGCCGGUAAACCACACACGCUCCAUCGAACUAUGAUAAACAAUGAAUCACCCUUUGCCACCUUCGCUUAGAACCAAUUAGUGUGCCGGUAAACCACACACGCUCCACUAACAUCUUAGCAAGGUGCAAAGUGUAAUUUCAUGGGAUUGCAUCAAUUCACUUUUCCUAAAGUAACUAGGAUUGGGAAAUUUUAAAAAAAUGUGUAGUUACUUUAUAUUUCUUAUUAUACUUUUAAUGAGAGGAUGAGGUUGCCCUAUCCUACCCGUUCGGCUAACGACCCUCCACCAAUCAAGCAAGCGGUGGGUGUGAGUGUACACCCAUUAAGCGCCAUUUUAUAGGCCGCAACCUUAUACCCACCUUAUAGAUCGGCUUCGUGAAUGAGGCCUACUAACGGUAAGACUAGCAUUUAGUUAUACAUAUAUAUAUUAUUCUAGUAAUAUCAUAUUUGUAUAGUGUUGUAUUUUAAAACUUUUAAAAUCUAGGGUUUGAAAUUUAAGUUGUCUA
rnacentral:lncRNA from 1 species